AUAUCUCUCUGUACGGGAAGGAUGAGAAGCUUCGACUAAGGUUCGAUUCGAGCGUCAGCGAGAAAGCGUUGC
rnacentral:sRNA from 3 species